rnacentral:rRNA from 1 species
UACGUAGGGGGCAAGCGUUGUCCGGAAUCAUUGGGCGUAAAGAGCGUGUAGGCGGCCCGAUAAGUCCGCUGUGAAAGUCCAGGGCUCAACCCUGGGAUGCCGGUGGAUACUGUCGGGCUCGAGUCCGGAAGAGGAGUGUGGAAUUCCUGGUGUAGCGGUGAAAUGCGUAGAUAUCGUAAGGAAGACCAGUGGCGAAGGCGGGUCUCUGGACAGUUCCUGACGCUGAGGCAGGAAGGCCAGGGGAGCAAACGGG